UGUGAUUUUUGAAGAAGAAAGGGAAACACGAUCGUUAAGAAAGUUUAAGCGGGAAGCAGCAGAGUGUGGAAUACGCCGGCAUAUUCCAGGUUACAACGAGGUCAUUCCGGACGAUUUGGAUUAGAAGUGGGUCGUUGGCCGAGUCCGUGUGUUGCUGUUCCUGUUGCUUGAAGCUCUUCCCAUUUGGUACUCUAUCGAUUUUCUAGCUUCUCUUUCUAUGUUGAACUCUGUGAGGUCCGCCUACCUGGGAGCGCGCCUCACCCCUUGUUUUAUUGUUAUUGUUGAACUCCUUUCAUUUCGGUUAUGAUGUAAGCCCUAAGGCAUCACAGUGCACUUGCCCACUUUAUUUUGUUGCUUUUCCAGA